rnacentral:lncRNA from 1 species
AGAAAAACAGGACUAUUCUCUUGUAACAUCAUUCCUUCCAUUACAAGGGUAAAAGUAGAGCUAGAUGCAACACUGUUUUUAGAAGUGCCUCUCCUACAAAAGAAAAGUUGUGACUGUGAGGAAUCUGCCUAGGAGCCAUGAGUCUUUAGAGGUACAGAUCCUAGAAGGAGAUGAUAUUUGGACACAUCUACAUCGUGAACUGGUUUCCAAAUUAGGUUAGCAUUCUUAUUGUUUUAUUUCCAGAAAAAAGGUAGAAGAGU